rnacentral:sRNA from 1 species
GAAGGUUGCAUAUAACAGCUCAGGAAGCUGUGAGAUAGAGAAGAUCGUGGGCUCAGAAAUAGACAGUACGGGAAAAUUCGCUUUUCCUGGCCACAGAGAGAUCCACGUGCUGGACACUGACUACGAGGGCUACGCCAUCCUGCGGGUGUCCCUGAUGUGGCGGGGCAGGAACUUUCGCGUCCUCAAGUACUUUAGUAAGCUUGGCCCUGGGGGGCUCUGCCCAGCUGCUGCCCUCCCAGGGACUGCCCGCCCAGCCCCCCUGUGCCCCACAGCUCGGAGCCUUGAGGACAAGGACCAGCUGGGGUUCUGGAAGUUUCGGGAGGUGACAGCAGACACUGGUCUCUACCUGGCGGCCCGGCCUGGGCGGUGUGCCGAGCUCCUGAAGGAGGAGCUGAUUUAAUGGAGUUCUGUGGGGCCUCCGGAGACCACGCGGGCCUGAGCCCCUGCACUUCUGUGUCGCAGGAGCUGAUUUAAUGGAGUUCCUGCCUCAGACCACGAGGUUCGGAGCGCCCGCCCACCCCGGCCCCUCCUGGGCACCCUGCCCACCAGGUCACCUGCACCUGCUCUGAAUAAACUGUGAAGUCAA